AAUAAAGUGCCUGAUAAAAGGGUUAUCUUGAUAGGAUAAAUCAUGUGCAAUUUUGUAUCUUUAUUA
rnacentral:tRNA from 1 species